rnacentral:lncRNA from 13 species
GUACGGGAGUUCCAGUGAUGGGACAAGACUAACUACCAAUUGAAUACCACAAAAUUGAGGAGAUAAAGGGAUACAAAUAAAUACAUUUUUAAAAAGCAUGCUACACCCAAGGCAAGCUCAACUAAUCCAACUGGCAUUUGAGGGGAAUCUUACAAGAAGAUUUCGGGAGAAUGGAAUGAUCGAUUCAGGAAGUUCCACAGAACAUCAAGUAGGCUGCACUUGUUUGAAAAGAUCUCCAGGCUCAAAGCGUCAGCCCACCAGCUUGGUAGAGUAUAAAUCUACAUCUAUAUCAAAGCAAAUCAAAUUAUUUGUCACAUGCUUCAAAUACAACAGGUAGACGGUAGACCUUACCGUGAAAUGGUUACUUACAAGCCCUUAACCAACAAUGCAGUUAAGAAAAAUAAGAGUUAAGAAAAUAUUUACUAAACAAACUAAAGUUAAAAAAAAGAAGACCAACAAUAAAAUAACAAUAACGAGGCUAUAUACAGGGGGUACUGGUAUCGAGUCAAUAAACAGAGUAGCAGCACCGUAAAAAAAAAAAAAAGUGGAGGGGUGGGGUAAAUGUAAAUAGUAAAGGUAGCCAUUUGAUUAGCUAUUCAGUAGUUUUAUGGCUUGGGGGUAGAAGCUGUAAAGAAGCCUUUUGGACCUAGACUUGGCGCUCCGGUACCGUGUAGUAGCAGAGAGAACAGUCUAUGACUAGGGUGUCUGGAGUCUUUGGCAAUUUUUUGGGCCUUCAUCUGACACCGCCUGGUAUAGAGGUCCUGGAUGGCAGGAAGCUUGGCCCCAGUGACGUACUGGGCCAUAUGCACUACCCUCUGNNNNNNNNNNUGUUUAUACUUGUGUACUAUUGUUUGAACAGAUGAACGUGGUACCUUCAGGCAUUUGAAAAUUGCUCCUAAGGAUGAACCAGACGUUUGGAGGUCUACAAUUAUUUUUCUGACGUCUUGGCUGAAUUGUUUAGAUUUUCCCAUGAUGUGACGCAAAGCGGCACUGAGUUUGAAGGUAGGCCUUGAAAUACAGUGGUGCAAAAAAGCCUUAAAAUACUUGUUUUCCGCCAUAAUUUACAAAUAAAUUCAUAAAAAAUCUUACAAUGUGAUUUUCUGGAUUUUUUUUCUUCUCAUUUUGUCUGUCAUAGUUGAAGUGUACCUAUGAUGAAAAUUACANNNNNNNNNNUGUAAUUUUCAUCAUAGGUACACUUCAACUAUGACAGACAAAAUGAGAAGAAAAAAAAUCCAGAAAAUCACAUUGUAAGAUUUUUUAUGAAUUUAUUUGUAAAUUAUGGCGGAAAACAAGUAUUUUAAGGCUUUUUUGCACCACUGUAUUUCAAGGCCUACCUUCAAACUCAGUGCCGCUUUGCGUCACAUCAUGGGAAAAUCUAAACAAUUCAGCCAAGACGUCAGAAAAAUAAUUGUAGACCUCCAAACGUCUGGUUCAUCCUUAGGAGCAAUUUUCAAAUGCCUGAAGGUACCACGUUCAUCUGUUCAAACAAUAGUACAC